rnacentral:rRNA from 1 species
CCUGGUUGAUCCUACCAGUAGUCAUAUGCUUGUCUCAAAGAGUAAGCCAUGCAUGAGUAAGUAUGAACUAAUUCAGACUGUGAAACUGCGAAUGGUUCAUUAAAUCAGUUAUAGUUUGUUUGAUGGUAUCUACUACUCGAAUAACCAUAGUAAUUCUAGAGCUAAUACGUGCAACAAACCCUGACUUCUGGAUAAAAGGUCGACGCGGGUUAUGCCCGUUGCUCUGAUGAUUCAUGAUAACUCGACGGAUUGCACGACCUUUGUGUCGGUGACGCAUCAUUCAAAUUUCUACCCUAUCAACUUUCGAUGGUAGGAUAGUGGCCUACUAUGGUGGUGACGGGUGGCGAAGAAUUAGGGUUCGAUUCCGAAGAGGGAGCCUGAGAAACGGCUACCACAGCCAAAGAAGGCAGCAGGCGUGCAAGUUACCCAAUCCUGACACAGGGAGGUAGUGACAAUAAAUAACAAUAUCGGGCUUUCUAAGUCUGGUAAUUGGAAUGAGUACAAUCUAAAUCCUUUAACGAGGAUCCGUUGGAGGGUAAGUCUGGUGACAGCAGCCACGAUAAUUCUAGCUCCAAUAGCAUUUAUUUAAGUUGUUGUAGUUAAAAAGCUCGUAGUUGGAACUAGGGUUGGGUCGUCUGGUCCACCUCACAGUGAGCAUCGGUCUACUCAUCCCUACUGUCAGCAAUGCGCUCUUGGACUUAAUUACUUGGAGUCAUUCCUUCGACACUGUUACUUUGAAGAAAUUAGAGUGCUCAAAGUAGGCCUACGCUUGUAUACAUUAGCAUGGGAUAACAUCAUAGGAUUUCGAUCCUAUUGUGUUGGCCUUUAGGACAGAGUAAUGAUUAACAGGGACAGUCGGGGCAUUCGUAUUUCAUAGUCAGAGGUGAAAUUCUUGGAUUUAUGAAAGACAAACAACUGGGAAAGCAUUUGCCAAGGAUGUUUUCAUUAAUCAAGAAUGAAAGUUGAGGGCUCGAAGACGAUCAGAUACCGUCUUAGUCUCAACCAUAAACGAUGCCGACCAAAGAUCGACGGAUGUUACUUUUAGGACUUCACCAGCACCUUAUGAGAAAUCAACGUCUUUAGGUUCCGGGGGGAGUAUGGUCGCAAGGCUGAAACUUAAAGGAAUCGAUAGAAGGGCACCACCAUGAGUGGAGCCUAUGGCUUAAUUUGACUCAACAUGGGGAAACUUACCAGGUCUAGACAUAGUAAGGAUUGAUAGACUGAGAGCUCUUUCUUGAUUCUAUAGGUGAUGGUGCCUGGCCGUUCUUAGUUGGUGGAGCAAUUUGUCUAGUUAAUUUCGUUAACGAAUGAGACCUCAGCCUACUAACUAGCUACGCGAAGGCGAUCCUUCGUGGCUAGCUUCUUAGAGGGACUAUGGCCGCUUAGGCCAAGGAAGUUUGAGGUAAUAACAGGUCUGUGAUGCCCUUAGAUGUUCUGGGCCGCACGCGUGCUACACUGAUGUAUUCAACGAGUCUAUAGCCUUGGUCGACAGGCCUAGGUAAUCUUUGAAAUUUCAAUAUGAUGGGGAUAGAUCAUAGCAAUUGUUGGUCUUCAACGAGGAAUUCCUAGUAAGCACGAGUCACCAGCUCGCGUUGACUACGUCCCUACCCUUUGUACACACCGCCCGUCGCUCCUACCAAUUGAAUGGUCCGGUGAAGAGUUCAGAUCAUGAUGACAUAGAUGGUCCGCCGCUCGCGACAUCGCUAGAAGUCCAUUGAACCUUAUCAUUUAGAGGAAGGAGAAGUCGUAACAAGGUUUCCGUAGGUGAACCUACGAAAG